UGGGAAUUGGAUUGAUUUAGCACUUACAGUUGAAAUUGGGAUUUAGGUUUACACAAAAGAAAGACGAUGGCGACUUGAGGAGGAGGUGACGACGGCGGCUGUGACGGAGGAGUUGUCGACGGCAGCUGUGAUGGAGGAGUUGUCGAUGGUGGCUAAGACGUAAGAGAUGUUGUCUGAGUGGGAUAGGGACGACAGCGACUCUUGAUCGGAGGAGUUGUCGAUGGCGGCUAAGACAUAGGAGAUGUUGUCGGAGUGGGAUAGGGACGACAGCGACUCUUGAUCGGAGAUUGUUCCUGUCCUAUGUCGAUGUUGUCGUGAGAGAGAGGCCCGUCAAAACCAAGGUUUGUUUCUAUUUCUUUUUUUUUGUCGAUUUUUUUUUAAACUUAACAUAUAUUUUCUAAUUUUUAUUUUAUUUAUGUGGCAAUUUUGUAGUUAAUCAAGUUAGUAAUGGACUUUUAGUAAAUUUGCUUAUACCUCAUUUUAGUCUAGUAAUUUAAAUUUAAUAUGAGUUAUUCUAGUAAUUUUUAGAUGAAUAGGAGUUAGUCUAGGUAAUUUCUCAAAAUUAUAUUACUAUUAGAGUCCAAUUUUGAACCGAGAUAAUUACGUAGAUAUGUAGGUAAUUUAUUAGAAAUAAACAAAUGCACAGUUCGAUUCUUUCUCCAUAAUAUUUAAAAUUCUCAUGGUUUUGGGAGGCCAAAUAAAUAAUGGGAUUCAGGACUUAAAACUUUCAGGCACGGUCCUGGAGCCUGGAGGUGAGUUACAAGAUUAGCGCAUAGGAAGAAUUUCCAUAACCACAUGCGCGAGUAUCAAAGUAUUUCUGUGUCAAAGUAGUAUCACCGACUAUAAAUUUCAUAAAUUAGGAAUUGAGGAAGUAACUAUUAAAUCC
rnacentral:lncRNA from 1 species